ACGUUGAGAGGUUGGAUGUGGGAGCAUAGUGAUAUGUGAAGCGGACCAAUACUAAUUGCUCGUGAGGCUUGACUAUACAUCCCCCAAGCAGUUG
rnacentral:rRNA from 1 species